CAAUCACCUGCACUGGUCCUGACCAGGUCUCAGGGGUGAGCUGAGAGGAAGGCCCGGCUUAGGAAACAGGGGUGUUCUUCUUGUGAGUGACUGUGCGGCCACAAGCAUGGGAACGGGG
rnacentral:snoRNA from 1 species